rnacentral:ribozyme from 13 species
UUUUUCAAUUUCCAUUUUUUCUUUUCCAAAUUGGGAAGGAUAGAUGGACACAGAAAGGACUGUCCCAGUGGAGGGGGAAAAAGAAGAGAGAACAGCAAGGAGGUCAACAGCUUUAAUUUUUU